GGCGGAAUAGGAGAGGCGGCCGAAGCGCCCGGAUACAGCGAGUAAAAGCGCAGGAGACUCGCUAAAUGUGCCCCGUUGGAAAGCAAGAAUUUCGUCUGUCUGUCAGGGAGAGCCCAGAACAUUUUCGGGAUUUUUGGGCUUCUCUUUGACAUGUAAUUUGGGGGCCAUAAGCCAACGAUCUAUCACCCCUCUCCAAAUUGGCCGUCUGCACGGGAUCAUUCCAGUUACCCAGGCCCCCCACCCCGCACACACUCUCGGUUCUUGGGGUGUGUAGAUAGGGGCAGGGGAAGAGAGCGUGGAGAAAGGGAGGAAAAAUAAUUGCACCUUUCUGAAAUAUAAGGCUACACGUUUUGAGAGGAGAGUCGCGGGACGCUGGGCACAUGAGUGACGGAUGCUAGCUUGGUCCUCUCAGGGCAGAAUGGGCGUGUCCCCGCUGCUCCUGCUCUGCAGUGUGGCCCUCUGGGCCCUCAGCACAGCCCAGACCACCCCCCCUCCCACAGGU
ensembl:lncRNA